UUAUAGGUUAGUACAGUGGCUGAAAACAGCAACCUCCUUGGUAGUGUGUACAGCCUGUUGUUGGUAGAGCAUCCUAACAGACCUUGGAGACAGUU
rnacentral:snoRNA from 1 species